rnacentral:rRNA from 1 species
UAACGCGUAUGUAACCUACCUAUAACAGGGGCAUAACACUGAGAAAUUGGUACUAAUUCCCCAUAAUAUUCGGAGAGGCAUCUCUCCGGGUUGAAAACUCCGGUGGUUAUAGAUGGACAUGCGUUGUAUUAGCUAGUUGGUGAGGUAACGGCCCACCUAGUCGACGAUCGGUAGCCGGACUGAGAGGUUGAACGGCCACAUUGGGACUGAGACACGGCCCAGACUCCUACGGGAGGCAGCAUG